rnacentral:rRNA from 1 species
UACGUAGGGUGCGAGCGUUGUCCGGAAUUAUUGGGCGUAAAGAGCUCGUAGGCGGCUUGUCGCGUCGGAUGUGAAAGCCCGGGGCUUAACUCCGGGUCUGCAUUCGAUACGGGCAGGCUAGAGUUCGGUAGGGGAGAAUGGAAUUCCCGGUGUAGCGGUGAAAUGCGCAGAUAUCGGGAGGAACACCGAUGGCGAAGGCAGAUCUCUGGGCCGUAACUGACGCUGAGGAGCGAAAGCAUGGGGAGCGAACAGG